UUUAUGGAGAGUUUGAUCCUGGCUCAGGAUGAACGCUGGCGGCGUGCCUAAUACAUGCAAGUCGAGCGAACGGACGAGAAGCUUGCUUCUCUGAUGUUAGCGGCGGACGGGUGAGUAACACGUGGAUAACCUACCUAUAAGACUGGGAUAACUUCGGGAAACCGGAGCUAAUACCGGAUAAUAUUUUGAACCGCAUGGUUCAAAAGUGAAAGACGGUCUUGCUGUCACUUAUAGAUGGAUCCGCGCUGCAUUAGCUAGUUGGUAAGGUAACGGCUUACCAAGGCAACGAUGCAUAGCCGACCUGAGAGGGUGAUCGGCCACACUGGAACUGAGACACGGUCCAGACUCCUACGGGAGGCAGCAGUAGGGAAUCUUCCGCAAUGGGCGAAAGCCUGACG
rnacentral:rRNA from 1 species